ACAGUUUCUUUUCCAUAUAUUUGUCUUUAUAUAAGAACAUAUUGUUAAAUAGGAAUAAAUAAUUUAAGCUGUUUUUAGAUUGACGUUGCUAGCUACUGUUACUGUACUUAUUUACCUCAGCCUGCCUAGUCAGCUAGCUAGCCAGCCAGACAGUUUUAUUUAGCUAAUGUUAGCUAGCUAGCUAGCUACUGUAACUGUUAUUGUAGCUUUUUGUUUGUAUGUAGCUUGCACUUACUUCAUUGGCAUCCCUCGAAGAGUUUCUUUUAUCUUUCUAAUCAGGCAAAGUACUAUGACGGCACCACUGAUCUCGACAAAAGGCGCAACAUUCAGAGAAAUUCGGGGUAACGUCAAAUAACAAGAGAGUGGAAGACAUACAGAGAGCGAUAGAGAAAGACAGAAGUGCAAAUGUACUUAGACUUGAGUAUUUCAACAACUCUUCUCUUCCAACUUGUUUGGCAAGCAUAUGUACCUACGGGGGAAGGAUGGCAAGCUAUACAGGAGGGUGAUUUUUAAGGAGGAAAAGGAGGCCGUGCUGAUCGAGAUGCAUGCUGGCCAUUACGGAGUGAAGCGCAUGAUUGCCAAAUCAACCUACGCUUCUUCUGAUGGGGAAUUGUCAAGGAGUACCCUGUCGAGCCUGCAAGAAGUUUGAGAAGGCAAAGACUGGCAUCAAAGUUGUUUCACCAAGGCACAUGAUCGGGGUGGACCUCAUCGGAUCCUUCACGAAAUACAGAAAUGGCAACAGCUGGUGUCUGACCCGACCGAUCACUUUACCAAGUGGGUGGAGGCAAUAACCAUUAACAUCAGUCAAGGAAGAGUAUGUGUUCAACUCUAAAUUCCAUUCCGUAACCCAUUAAAAAGGGUGCUUGGAACCAAAAAUAGAUUUUCAUUUUGUAUGAUACCCAUCAAGGACAAGACUGGUAAGGCCACCUCCAAGGCCAUGAUUGACAUCUUCAACACCCACAGUUCUCCUGAGAUCAUCAUGAGUGACGAGAUAAUGAACGCUGGAACAAGGCACACACCUGUCUAUUUAAGGCCCCACAGUUAACAGUGCAUGUCAGAGGAAAAACCAAGCCAUGCCGUAGAGCUCCGGGACAGGAUCGUGUUGAGGCACUGAUCUGGGAAAGCGUGCCAAACAAUGUCUGCAGCAUUGAAGGUCCCCAAGAAUUAAGUGGAACCAAUAAGACUCUUAUUAGAGCUGUCUGCCCAGCCAAACUGAGCAAUCGGGGUAGAAGGUCCUUGGUGAGGGAGUGGACCAAGAACCCAAUGGUCACUCUGACAGAGCUUCAGAGUUCCUAUGUGCAGAUGGGAGAACCUUCUAGAAGGACAACCAUCUCUGCAGCACUCCACCAAUUAGGCAUUUAUGGUAGAGAGUGGCCAGACGGAAGCCACUCCUCAGUAAAAGGCUCAUGACAGCCAGCUUGGAGUUUGCCAAAACGCACCUAAAGAACGCAGACCUUGAUCUGAUUACAUAAAAAAAUUGAACUCUUUGGCCUGAAUGCCAAGAGUCACAUCUGGAUGAAAUUUGGCACCAUCCCUACGGUGAGACAUGGUGGUGGCAACAUCGUGCUGUGGGGAUGUUUUUCAGUGGCAGGAUCGAAGGAAAGAUGAAUGGAGCAAAGUACAGAGGGCUCCUUGACGAAAGCACUCCAGAGUGCUCAAGACCUCAGACUGGGGCAAAUGUUCACCUUCCAACAAGACAACAACCCUAAACAUACAGCCAAGGCAAUGCAGGAGUGGCUUCGGGACAAGUCUCUAAAUGUCCUUGAGUGCCCCAGACAGAGUCCGGACUUGGACCCGAUCGAACUUCUCUGGAGAGUCGUGAAAAUAGCUGUGCAGUGACGCUCGCCAUCCAACCUGACAGAGCUUGAGAGGACCUGCAGAGAAGAAUGGGAGAAACUCCCCAAAUACAGAUGUGCCAAGCUUGUAGUGUCAUACCUGUCACUUUCUGACCUUUAUUUCCUUUGUUUUGUCUUUAUUUAGUAUGGUCAGGGCGUGAGUUGGGGUGGGCAGUCUGUGUGUUUUUCUAUGUUGGGGUUUUGAGUUCAGCCUAGUAUGGUUCUCAAUCAGAGGCAGGUGUCGUUAGUUGUCUCUGAUUGAGAAUCAUACCUAGGUAGCCUGGGUUUCACUUUUGAGUUGUGGGUGUUUGUUUUCCAUGUGUGUGUUUGUUGCCACACGCUACUGGCUUGGUUUCGUUCAUGUUCACGUUUAUUGUUUUGUAUUCUCAUAGUGUUCAGUUUAUAUCUUAAAAUAAACAUUAUGGACACUUACCACGCUGGGCAUUGGUCCUCCGAUCCUUCUUAUCCUUCUUUUUAUCCUUCUUCUUCUUAUUACUUAUGUAAAUGUAAUAUUUCAUUUUUUUAAAGUUUGCAAAACAUUUCUGAACCUGUUUUUGCUUUGUCAUUAUGCGUUAUUGUGUGUGGUAUGAUGAGGGGUAAAAAAAUAUUAAUACAUUUUGGAGCAAUACUGUAACGUAACGACAUGUGGAAAAAGUCAAGGGGUCUGAAUACUUUCCGGAUGCACUGUAGUACACAGUAGGCUACUUUAGAAGAAAUGUCUGCAUCCAAAUGUUCUACUGUAUUUUAGGGAAAAUAUAUCAAUGUCAUUUACUUUUAUUCAUCAUUUUUUCAAAAAGAAUGAAAUAUGAUUUGCAGUGUUGGAAGAAAUGAAAAUCACAAGAUGCUGGCAAGUAUAAUGUGAUACUGCCAACUUGUGGUCAUUGUGGAACACAACACCUGUAAUGUUUUCUCGAAACGUGUUUAGGUUUUUUGCAAGAGCUCUAGGCCAGAAUUGACAUUAUAAUGGAAUACAUUUGAGGCUCUGAAUAUAUCCUAGAAGAAAAAAGUAACAUGCAUGAACAAUGAAGAGAGAUACCGGUAAAGUACAUAUGAACUUUACCGGUGUGGUAGAUUGUUUUACUACUUUUUAAACCAAGUAUACUCAGUACACUACUUCUAUUGUGCGAUAGUGUAUACAAGGGCACACUUCUGGAGAAGUUUGGCGAAGCGGUGGCUGUGUCCUUUGAAGCCCUAAAAACACCUCACUUUCAGCUUCACCCCACACUGACACAUUUGGUGGAGAAUGCAGGCCCAACACUAGAGGACAUGAGAACAAAAACACUUACGGAGGUUCCCCCAUUACAGUGGACAAUGACCCUAAAACAGUCAUUAAGGGGGU